AAUCAUCCAAUUUUUUCUAACAACAAUAAAGUGGCAUGUUUGAAAUAUUUCCAAGUCGAAUCUGUAACCAUUUUCAACCACAAUACUUUGCAUAAAUUGUGAAAAAUAUAUUUUUGGGGAAAGAUGGUUGACAGAAAGAAAAUAAAAAAGAACCAAAAGUGUGGAAAUAAACCUUACGAAAAUAAUAUUCACGAUAAUAAAAGCAAAUAAUAACGUAGCAUUGAGAUAUGAGAAUUAAAUGAAUCAAAGAGUGACAACGGCACCAAGAUUUUUACAUGAAAAUCCUUUUGAAUAAAUAAAAAAUUCACGGUCCCGAGAACAGCAACUGAUAUUACUAUAGCAAGAAAUUUUAUAUUUUGUAGGUUCCAGUAAAAUACUCCAAAGUCCAUUACAACACUCAAAAGAAAUAAACUUCUUUUGAUAUUUCACCUUACUAUAAUAUCUCUCAUUCUCUAUUUUUCUCGCAGACUAUUUUCUUAUAUUCUAUCUAUAAUGCCUCAUUUUUUCUUUCUC
rnacentral:lncRNA from 1 species